rnacentral:rRNA from 1 species
UACGUAGGGGGCCAGCGUUGCUCGGAAUGACUGGGCGUAAAGGGCGCGUAGGCGGUUUGGUCAGUUAGGCGUGAAAUUCCUGGGCUCAACCUGGGGACUGCGCUUAAUACAGCCAGACUUGAGUGUGAAAGAGGGUCGUGGAAUUCCCAGUGUAGAGGUGAAAUUCGUAGAUAUUGGGAAGAACACCGGUGGCGAAGGCGGCGACCUGGUUCACAACUGACGCUGAGGCGCGAAAGCCAGGGGAGCAAACGGG